UAGAAGGGCCAAAGGCUAAAAUUGCUACA
rnacentral:piRNA from 1 species